rnacentral:rRNA from 1 species
AGCAGCCGCGGUAAUUCCAGCUCCAAUAGCGUAUAUUAAAGUUGUUGCAGUUAAAAAGCUCGUAGUUGAAUUUCGGGGUCAGCAAGUUGGUCGUGCCACUGGUAUGUACUGGCUUUGCUGAUCCCUCCUUCUUGUAGAACCGUAAUGCCAUUAAGUUGGUGUUGCGGGAAAACAGGACUGUUACUUUGAAAAAAUUAGAGUGUUUAAAGCAGGCUAACGCUUGAAUACAUUAGCAUGGAAUAAUGAAAUAGGACGACGAUCCUAUUUUGUUGGUUUCUAGGAUUGACGUAAUGAUUAAUAGGGAUAGUUGGGGGCAUUAGUAUUCAAUUGUCAGAGGUGAAAUUCUUGGAUUUAUUGAAGACUGACUACUGCGAAAGUAUUUGCCAAGGAUGUUUUCAUUAAUCAAGAACGAAAGUUAGGGGAUCGAAGACGAUCAGAUACCGUCGUAGUCUUAACCAUAAACUAUGCCGACUAGGGAUCGGAUGAUGUUAAUUUUAUAAUGACUCA